rnacentral:rRNA from 1 species
CACGAAUGGGGCUAGCGUUGUUCGGAAUCACUGGGCGUAAAGCGCACGCAGGCGGAUCGAUAAGUCGGGGGUGAAAGCCCGGGGCUCAACCUCGGAAUUGCCUUCGAUACUGUCGGUCUCGAGUCCGGGAGAGGUGAGUGGAAUUCCUAGUGUAGAGGUGAAAUUCGUAGAUAUUAGGAAGAACACCAGUGGCGAAGGCGGCUCACUGGCCCGGUACUGACGCCCAGGUGCGAAAGCGUGGGGAGCAAACAGG